CGACGCCGCGUGGGGGAUUGAAGCUUUUCGGAGUGUAAACCCCUUUCGACCCGGACGAAAACCUCGCAAGAGGAUUGACGGGUUACCGGGUAUUAAGAAGCCCCGGACUAACCUACGUGC
rnacentral:rRNA from 1 species